CACAUUCCAAAUAGAGAAUGUAGUUAUUGCGCAUCGUGAAUAAUAAUAAUAAUAAUAAAAGAUUAGGCAAUCGCAGCCAUCUUUACUACCCUUAUGUGAGGUUUACAUGUCUAGUUGUAUAUAAAUUGAACUAUAUUAAAAGGACAAUAUGAUAUAAACUUGUGCAUUGCAGCCAUGAAUUACAUUAGAAUUUCAAGAAUGUUCCAACUUUUCAUGGAUGCAAUUAAAGGCAAUAAAACAAGUCAUUGAUUAAAAAGUUGAAUUUGAUACC
rnacentral:lncRNA from 1 species